UGUAUAUUUAUAUUUCACCAACCAAUUAUCAGGAUAUGAGAGGAGUCUGAGAUGACCCAGCACAUCCUCGUUUUAAGAACACUUUCACUGCAGAUUUGACAAAACACGAAGGUACCAAUGUGAGAUUUCUAAAGAUAGCUACAGCACUUGACCCAAAGUUUAAAAAUCUGAAGUGCCUUCCAAAAGCUGAGGGAUGAGGUGUGUAGCAUGCUUUCAGAAGUCUUAAAAGAGCAACACUCUGAUGCAGAAAUUACAGAACCCGCAGCAUUAUCUCCUGCAACCAUAAACAAACUUGUUUGUCUGAGUGAGUGGCUGAACAAGAAGUAGGACUGAAUGGACUUGUAGGCUCUAAAUUUUUAAGUUUUUUUUGUUUUUGAAUGCAGUUGUUUUUUGUACAUAAUUCUACAUUUGUAAGUUCAACUUUCUUGAUAAAGAGAUUGCACUACAGUCCUUGUAUUAGGUGAAUUUAAAAGUACUAUUUUUUGCAGCAUGAAUAUUUGUAAUAAAAAUAUAAAAUGAGCACUG